CGGCCGGCGGGCCCCGGGCCUACCCGGACCGGCGGCCUUGCGCCCCCCGGCCCACAGCGCCCGGCGCGGGACAGCCCGGGCGGGUGCCCUCAGCCCCGCGCAGUGCUCGUGCUUUCUCGGAGCUGAACCCCGGAGGCUCUGCAGCGGCUGGGAGGGCCUUUCCCUCGGCUUCUCCCCGGGCUGGGCCCUAACCAGAAGUCAACUACUGAUUUGUUGUUCCCUGUGUGUCUCUUGGAGCCUUUUUUUGAAAAUGUAUUCACAUUUCCCAUCUUUUGAGGUUAAACAACAGACUACAUGCCUUGGAGGAGGGUCAGUCUUUGGAUGAAGCACUGACAGCUGAGCAGUAGUGGCAACCCCACGACCUAGAACAGAAGAGCACCUCUGUUACACAGCCAACUUUAAAAGGAAGAAAUGAAAACAAAGGGUUAAAUUCUAGAAAAUUAUUGGUGUUUUAAAUACUGCUGUGAGAGCAAGCCCCUGAAAAAAGGUCCUUAGCUCCUAAACUACAGCCUGACUUAUGUAAGUGACUUGCCCCACACUGCUCAGAGCACAGUGGAUCUCAAGAGUGGGAGACAGAAGAUCCAAAGUGAGGGGAAGAAGGCACUUGGUCAGUUCAGGCAUCUCUAGAAACAGAUGGUGGCUAGAGAAAGAGGGCAUCACAACGCUGCAUAAAAGUUUUGGUCUUGCUCACCUUUGCACCUACUGUUUACAGCACAAAGCUAACAACAGAAACUGGCAACACAGACAGCAGCAGCUGGAAGAUUAUCUUCUCGAUCUGCUUCAGCUCCACAGCCAAGCUGUAUCUUAACACAAGUAUGUGGCACAAAAGGGGCCAAGAAACACUGCAUGAACCAUGUACAGAUCACAAAGAGGUUUUCAGCAGCUUGCAAAAGCCAUUGAACAGGUUAAACUAACAUAUUGCCACCGUUUACAUGCCUGAUCCUAAAGCACAGAUGAGUUCAGUAACAGUACAGGACACAUCACAGAAAAGCAUGCUAUGACACAAGUUUAAGAGCAGAUAAAUCUAACUUUUGAUGGUUAGUAUUUCCUCUAAAUAAAUGUGUUUUGACAGCUA